CCUCUCCCAGCACCAUAACAAAUUAAGACCAUGGAAACACAAAUCUCCAAAACCUCUAUCAAUGGCAGUGACCAAAUUCUCCUCCUCCUCUCUCCCCACCGAAACUCUCCGUGAAGCCGCUGUAACCCUCUCAACUCCGCCAACCUAUCAAUGUCACUAAUCCACACAUUAGUCUCCGAUUCUUUAAUUCUACACUCCUUUUCUCUCCCUAUGAUACUGCGUUCGCACUCUCAGGCCGCCAAACCCCCCCCCCCCCCCCUCCAACUACAUCUUUCUUUCUUAAACACGUUGUUCCUUGCAAGAUUAAGUGGGGUAAGUUUCCCAGACAUGUAUCACAAUGACUAGCUUGUCAUUCAUGGCCCCAAGGGGAUUCUAUUGGAACCAGAGAAUGUAUAGUUUCUUGGAUGAUGAUGUUGAAUUUUAA
rnacentral:lncRNA from 1 species